AUGAAAAUCCAGCCUCUAUUUCAAGAAUAUCUGCAGGAUUACUGGUCCCACAGGUAUGGAUCUUUGGCAGUUGCUAUUGACCUUGGCACUGGCAGGUGCAAGCAAUGCUUUUGCUGGGAGAGAGGAUACAGAUGUGACAUUCUGGAAAGGAAUUUCCUCAUGUUAUACCCUGUCUGGAGGACUUUGCAGCAGCCCUUCUCCUAAGCUUUGUUUGCUUGCUGGCUGGCUUGCUUGUUUUAAUCAGUGACCACAGCGAUGACAAAGAAGAGAGGCUAACCAAAUCUGCAGAGGUUGCAAUGUUAUGGAUAACUAAUGUGCUGAAUGGUAAACACAGGAUUCAGAAUAUCUUGAUAGCUUACACCAGAGGACCAAAACUAACAAUAUACAAUUUCACAGGGAUAAAUGUAAAGUCCUACAUUUAAGUUUAAGAAAAGUCAACUUCCCAAAGGAGAGAAGUAGGAACACAAGAUUACAGCAAUAAAUACACUAAAAUAUUUAGGUCAUAGCAAAUUAAACGUAGCUAACCUAUGAUGAUGUAACCACCACCAAAGCAAGCUAGCAAAGCUUUCUUCAGAGCAGAGAAGAACCUAGAACAAGGAAAGUACCAGUCUGGUCUCUGCACUGGCCACAGCCAAUCUAGAAUUAUCUGGUGAGUUCUAGAUCUCUUGGUUUAAGAACAACGAUAACAAAUCUGUACAAAUAGUGUUAACAGUAAAGGCUAUUGAAAUCAUGUGAAAGCAACAGUAGAUGUUCAGUCUGAGGAUGAUGAUUUAUCAUCUUGAAGGGGGCUUUAACUGAAUAGCAUAGUAAAAUAGAAUAAUAAAAUAGCCUUUGAGAAUCAAAAAUAUGGAUGGAUGGAUGGAUGGAUUUUGGCUCUACUUGGUGUUAAUAUUCAGACUCAAAAAAUUACUCCCGUUUCUAUCUUUUUAAAAAAUUGGGAAAUUAAAAAUUACAUGUAUUUAUUAUGUACAACAUGAUAUUUUUCCCCUGUAUACAUUGUGGAGUGAAUAAAUUGAACUAACUGAAAAUUCAUGUGCUUUUUAUGGUGAGAACACUUAAAACUUAAUUUCUGCAAUUUGCAAAUAUGCAAAUUGUUAUUAACUGUAGUGACCAUGCUUCAUAACAGACCUCCAGGCUUAUUCUUCCCGUCUAACUGAAACUUUUCACCCUUUGACCAUCUCCCCAUUUCCCCAUCCUACAAACACAGGCUGCCUCCAUUCUACUCUCUGCUUCAUGAAUACAGUUUUCUUUAGAUUCCUAAGUGAGAUCACGAGGUGUUUAUCUUUCUUUAUUUGGCUUAUUUCAGAUAGCAUAAUAUCCUCCAGGUUCAUCUAUGUUGUUGCCAAUGACAGAAUUUCAUUCUUUUUUAAGGCUGAAGAGUAUAGUAUUUAUUUAUUUAUCUUUACUCAGAAACCCAUGAGAAUUAAAUGAGAUAGCAUGCAAGUUACCAACAUAGUUACCAGUAAGAUAUUUUCAGUAUAGGCUGGUCUCUUUAUCUUGUCAUCAAAAAAGGAAGAUCAAGGACAAUAGAGGCUCUUACAAGAAAACACUUUAUACCAGUUGCAAUUAUCCAAAAAUAGAAUGGGCUGCUGGGUCAGAGAGGGUUGGGCUAGAGGGUGGAUAUGCAGUGCUGACCUACUAAGGCAAUCUGGUACCCGAUUCUUGCCCAAACACAGCUUCACAUAAUGAUUGUUUUGAUUUUACACAGUGGAUUUCCAUGUAAAAUUUCAUUUGAACAAAUAAUUCAGCAAAUGUUAAAAAGGCAGAAAGUCAGUGGGCAGAAUGAUCUCCAAGUUUCCUUUCUUUUCCCUGGUCUACGCACUUCUGCAUUCUUAGAAUUGUUAUUCUGUGUGACAUGUGAGCUACUGGGAGAGACUCAACUAUAAAAAGAUCUAAAUGUGUUACUCUACUAUACCUAUUCAGGGAAAAAAAUUAUAAGCAUUAGAAAAAUUUUCAGUUCUGACAGACAAAAGAGAUGUUUGGCUACAACUUUAUAAAUUUCUACAUGACCACAGUACCGUGAUCUCAUGUCUGCUCACUAUCCUCAUGUAUGGCUUUCUCAAUGACAAAGAUGGAAUUAAGUUGAUAGUAUUUUUUAAUUAAAUUCCUUUAUUGGUACAUUGUAGGUAUACAACACAAUUACAUUUUCAUUGGGAAAUUGUACCUUUACAUGAUGCAUCUUGGUUCUUAUUUUUUCCCCAUUCCUAGCCCUCCCUUCACCCCCUCCACCCUUCCCUAUUUACAAAGACUUUAUUUCC
rnacentral:lncRNA from 1 species